rnacentral:sRNA from 1 species
AAACACCUUAGUGGAAACCACUGUUAAAGCUUUUGGUGUGUUUCUUACCAGUUUAUUCCCAGGCAUUGAAUUUUUGCUUUGUUUUGCCUUUCACAUAAUGAACAUGUAAAAUGUGAAGCAGGAUAUGAUGUAAAAGUUAUCAAUAGUAUCAAUCAAAAAAAUCAUUUUUUAGAAAUUCUGAAGUGACCAGAAUCUCCCCCUCUCCAACACAAAGUCAGUCCUCCCUACCUCCCCCAUGUCUUAUGCAGGAAAUGGUGCCUUUAAAUAUACAUCCAGAGUACAAACAUAGUGUAUUUCUGCAGAUGUUAAGGGAAGCUAAGGAGAAGGAGAAGCGGAGACUGGCACAGCAGCUCACAAUGGAGAGAACUGCACACUAUGGGAUGCUGUUUGAUGAAUAUCAAGGCUUGUCACACCUGGAAGCCCUGGAAAUUCUGUCCAAUGAAAGCGAAAGCAAGGUUCAGUCAUUUUUAGCAUCACUUGAUGGAGAGAAGCUGGAACUCUUAAAAAAUGACCUAAUUUCCAUUAAAGACAUCUUUGCAGCCAAAGAAUUAGAGAAUGAAGAAAAUCAAGAAGAACAAGGCUUAGAAGAAAAGGGAGAAGAAUUUGCUCGCAUGCUUACAG